AACCGCUGCUAACGGGCGGAAGUGAGCGCUCUCUCCGCCGCCCCGGAGCCCCUGCGGGCCGGGGCCGGCGGCCCCGUAGCCGGUCCCCCCCGGGGUCCCCCGGUAACUCCUCCACGGGUCCCCGGGGUCUCCCCCCUCGCCCUCCAGGGGCCCCGGGGUCUCCCCCCACCCCUCCAGGGGCCAGUCUCACCCGGGUGGAGCUGAUGUCCAUCAUCACCUCCUGGAAGGCCGCCGUCUCCUCCUCCGCCUGCCGCUGCGUGUGCAGCGCGAUCUUCUCGCUGAACUUGCGGGGGUUGGAGGCCCCGGAGCCGGACCCGGGGCCGGGGCCUGGUCCUGGGCCGGGGCCGGGACCCGUGCCGGGCCCCGGCCCCGGCCCAGGACCAGGUCCCGGUCCGCAGCCUCCUCCUGAACCCGAAGCAGACAUGUUUAGGACCGACGUGACGUAGUGGAACCGUCUGCAGAGACGGGCGGGGGCGAGGAGGAGGUCUCACUCCGCGGGGUUUCCAGGGACCGGAGGAGGUCUCACGCCGCGGGGUUUCCAGGGACCGGAGGAGGUCUCACUCCGCGGGGUUUCCAGGGACCGGAACAAUUAAAUGUUGAUUUAAAAAAAGGUUUCCAUGAACUGGAGGAGGUCUCACCCCGCGGGGUUUCCAGGGACCGGAAUAAGGGUCGUGGUCCGGACCGGAGGAGGUCUCACUCCGCGGGGUUUCCAGGGACCGGAGGAGGUCUCACUCCCGCCUGCAAAAUCAGCACUGUUUCCCCAUCACCAUCAUUGAAUAUUGAUUUAAAA